rnacentral:snRNA from 1 species
AUGCUUUGGUAGCACAUUACUAAAAUUCGAACAUACGGAGAAGAUUAGCAUGGCCCCUGCACAAGGAUGAUAUGCAAAUUCAUGAAGCGUUCUGUAUUUUU